AGCAGCUGUAAUGGCUUUAGAGGAAGGCUCGAUGUUAUCAUUAACUGCAGUGUAACCUCAUGCAUUUCACACUUGUCUCUGAGUGGCCGAGUGUCAUGCUAUCACUUUUUUUUUUUUCUUUCUUGUGGCGUGGCAGCUUUCCUGUUUCCAUGUCCGCAUUUGAACGAAGGAAAUAGACUCUUCUACAGACGAUGCCCCACAAAAUAACGGGAAUCCACUAUAGCCUGAAGGAGGUGACAUCAUCCUGGAGAAACUCUGGCUUACACAGUACAACAGAUGUAGAUAACACUACAGACACACCUCACUUCCUGAGAGGAGAGUUAUGGCUUCCUGGGAGAGGCACUGCCGUCCCCUGGAGCCCAUGAGGAGUUGGACAGCUACCUAUGGAGAGGGCACAUCUCUGACUUGUAGACCUGCUCUGAGGCUUCUCCUCUCACUUUGAGAUCCUCCGUGUACCUGUCAAAGGGUCAAAAGGGUACGCUGGCUGCAGACAACAGGACUGU